AUUUAUAAAGUAUAUAUUUGUAUGUAUGACUUCCAAUCAUAAGGACUAAAAAUUUUUAGUAUAAAUA
rnacentral:tRNA from 1 species